AUGAACGCUGGCGGCGUGCUUAACACAUGCAAGUCGAACGAAGCACUUUACCACGAUUCCUUCGGGAUGACGGUUUAGUGACUGAGUGGCGGACGGGUGAGUAACGCGUGGGGAACCUGCCCCAUACCGGGGGAUAACAGCCGGAAACGGCUGCUAAUACCGCAUAAGCGCACAGUACCGCAUGGUACGGUGUGAAAAACUCCGGUGGUAUGGGAUGGACCCGCGUCUGAUUAGCCAGUUGGCGGGGUAACGGCCCACCAAAGCGACGAUCAGUAGCCGGCCUGAGAGGGCGACCGGCCACAUUGGGACUGAGACACGGCCCAGACUCCUACGGGAGGCAGCAGUGGGGAAUAUUGCACAAUGGGGGAAACCCUGAUGCAGCGACGCCGCGUGAGUGAGGAAGUAUUUCGGUAUGUAAAGCUCUAUCAGCAGGGAAGAAGGAAUGACGGUACCUGACUAAGAAGCCCCGGCUAACUACGUGCCAGCAGCCGCGGUAAUACGUAGGGGGCAAGCGUUAUCCGGAUUUACUGGGUGUAAAGGGAGCGCAGGCGGCAUGAUAAGUCUGAUGUGAAAACCCAAGGCUCAACCAUGGGACUGCAUUGGAAACUGUCGUGCUGGAGUGUCGGAGAGGUAAGCGGAAUUCCUAGUGUAGCGGUGAAAUGCGUAGAUAUUAGGAGGAACACCAGUGGCGAAGGCGGCUCUCUGGUCUGUAACUGACGCUGAGGCUCGAAAGCGUGGGGAGCAAACAGGAUUAGAUACCCUGGUAGUCCACACCGUAAACGAUGGAUACUAGGUGUAGGAGGUAUCGACCCCUUCUGUGCCGCAGUUAACACAAUAAGUAUCCCACCUGGGGAGUACGACCGCAAGGUUGAAACUCAAAGGAAUUGACGGGGGCCCGCACAAGCAGUGGAGUAUGUGGUUUAAUUCGAAGCAACGCGAAGAACCUUACCAGGCCUUGACAUCCCUUGCAAAAUCCUGGAGACAGGAGGGAGGUUAUCAAGGAGACAGGUGGUGCAUGGUUGUCGUCAGCUCGUGCCGUGAGGUGUUGGGUUAAGUCCCGCAACGAGCGCAACCCUUAUCCUUAGUAGCCAGCACGCAGUGGUGGGCACUCUGGGGAGACUGCCAGGGAUAACCUGGAGGAAGGUGGGGAUGACGUCAAAUCAUCAUGCCCCUUAUGACUUGGGCUACACACGUGCUACAAUGGCGUAAACAAAGGGAAGCGAGCCCGUGAGGGGGAGCAAAUCCCAAAAAUAACGUCCCAGUUCGGAUUGUAGUCUGCAACUCGACUACAUGAAGCUGGAAUCGCUAGUAAUCGCGAAUCAGAAUGUCGCGGUGAAUACGUUCCCGGGUCUUGUACACACCGCCCGUCACACCAUGGGAGUCGGGAAUGCCCGAAGCCGGUGACCUAACCUUCGGGAAGGAGCCGUCGAAGGCAGAUUCGAUAACUGGGGUG
rnacentral:rRNA from 1 species